rnacentral:misc_RNA from 1 species
ACCUCGUCGACAAUGGCUACAGUGUUUACAAGAGUUGUAAGAGCUUAUGAAGUAUAAAGAGAUGAAUUGAGCAUAAAAAGAAGCAAAAGGAGCUUAGGAGUGUCUUAUUCAUGGUAUUUGGAGGCUAAUGGUAAAAAACGAACAGAUUCGAACAUCAGGUCAUAUUAAGCUUUUUUAGACAGCCUUAAUAGAACUUGUAUGUAAUUCACUAUUUAGAGUGUAAAUCUGGCCUUAUGGGUUUAGAGGGACCUUAAUUGAUAUAUUUUUAGGUGAUAUAUAAAAAUUAAUGCUUGUUUGGUUUCUACAGUCAAUUUAUUUAAGUGAAUUAAUUAUUGCAAUAGUGUCAAUGAUUGAUACUUAAUUUCCAUGGUGGAUAUAUAUCUUUCUACUGAGCCGUUAACAUAUUGUGUUAGUUGCAUUUUUGAUACUUUUAGCUUUUAGUUUAAUUUGAUUAGUUUUGUUUCUUAAGAAUUAAUAAAAUUCAAAAUCCCUUGUUUUCUUUGUUGUUAGCAUGUGUGAAUACUUGUUGAGUUCACUUUGCCAAUUGUAUAUCAUUCUCCGUGGAAUCAAUCUCUAUUUGCUCUUGCUACAAAUAAGUUAGUUUAGUAGAGUACUUUAUUUAAUUGGUGCAUUCGGUACACAUCACCUACCAAGCAUGCCAAAUUGUUGCUUUCAUGAAAUUGAAUUGUAGGUGUGUCAGAGAUGCGUAUGAUUCCAAUGUGAAAUAAAUGUGUGCCGGUCUGACUUCUAAACAGAACGAUUGGUGGAAACUUUCUCUUGGAUUUCAUAACUCCACUAAGAUACGCUUCGUUAGUAUCUUUACUUGUUCAGCUUUUGUGAAAUUGGAAAAGGACUUGAUCGCUUGAGAAAACUUAAAGGA